UCUCCCGCUCUGGGGCUCUAUUCCUCUGCCCUAACCACUCCAGGGCUAGGUACUUGACAAUUAGGGACACCUCUGUUAACCAGAGCCUGCUGAAAUUAUUCAACUAGCUAAUCCUUAGCCUGCUUUCCUUGCCUCCUCUAUUCCUUUCCAGAGAAACUGCAACAAAGGCUCUUGCUUGUGUUUUGCCCUCCUUGCAACUCCUGACCCCUGAAGGAUCCUGGUGAUUCUCCCAGUGGACAUAUAUGAUGUGCCCCCUCCUCCUGCAAGCUACAUAUUAGACUUGAGAAUCCAAAAACUCUGUUUAAUGAUCCUGUAUUGGCUGACAUCCAAAGAAAAAUUGCUUCACUUCUAAACAUCCAUGACAUAACUGUCUGUCUAAUAGGAAGACCUGAAAAGUACCAUUUGUUGUUGCAUCCGGCAGAGAGAAAUUUCUUCUGGAGAGGCCAAAUCCAUGCUACUGGCUGCUGCAUGUCUGAGACUUGUGUAAGAAUACUCCAGAGGUAGCUACGGGAGCUAACACUUCAGUCCUGAAGACUCUGGAUAAUGUUUUCAUAAGUUCUUAUCAGAGAAGACAUUUCCUGCUCUCUAUUAGUACAUAUCAUUUUUCUCAUCUAAUUUAGGACUUUGCAUUUUUAACAUUUAAAAAUUAAUCAUGCUGGAUCUUUAAACAAUUUUUAAAAUCUGUCUUUCUACAUAGUGGUUGGCCCUUUCUAUCAUUCCCAAAUUUUAUUAGAUAAGCAUGCAUUUUCAUCUCUAGAGAAAUCAUUGAUAAAACAUAUUCAGCAGCACAGAGUCAAGUGGUAAGGCCUCCUUAGUUCCUAAUUGAAAUAUAAUUUUUAUCUUAGUUUUGGUACAGGUAUUUAAUUAGUUAGAGAGUUAUAAAACUAGACUUGCCUCUAACCCAAAUUUUGUCCUUUUACCCUCCUGGAUAUAGUGCAAGAUCAUGUCACAUAUCUAGCUGAGAUUUGGACAGUGUUUCUAAGGGAGUCCUCAAAUUUGUAAAUAAAUUUAGGUGGCUGAGAUUUAUGUAUGCAGUGACAAUUAGAUCUGCUCAUUCUGAGGCAAACAUUGCAUUUUCUCAUUCAUCUUUGACCAUUCAGCUAAAGAUUCCUUGCACCGAGAAUUUAGAGAAAUCAGUUCAGGAUCUCAGUCCCUACCAGAGAUCCAUCUAAUAAAGAGUAGAUAAUAUUCCCAGAAAGAAGAAUUUCAAAUUUGCAGCACUUCUUUACUUCCCUGCUUUUCCAACUUUAAGAUAAGUAUAAAGUAGAAAUUUUACUCACAUUUUAUGUAUACACUUAUUCAGUAGUCACCUAGUUAAAGGGCACUAAGGGAAACGUUAAAAAAUUAAAAAGCACAUUUACAAUAGUAUUAUUAUUUCAGAAGAGGAAAUAUCAAGACCCCUUUGUGGCUACAUUGUUUAGUUAAUCUUAAUAUCUAUCUCUUAAAUCUUACUGAUACUUUAACCUUCCUUUACCAUGGAAAAAUAUUCUACUUUGAUAUCAAGAAUAAAUGGCAUGGUU